GGGACCUGCCUGCUGCCUCAAGGCUCAGGUGGGCUAUAGAGACACAGAGGUCUGCCUAGACACCUAACACCUGCUUCCAGCCUGCCAGCAGAGGAGGAUACCCAGAGGUUCAUCAGCUGUGUGGCCUGCCCACAGCAGGAGCCACUACUCUGUCCCUCCUUUCAGGUGAUCCUUUCUUGACCUAGAGCCAUUGGACAGCCACAGGUGGCACCCGAGCAGGGACCUGAAAACAGAGGACUUGCUGAGAAACACUGCUUUGGUUGGAGCCUCCACAGAACAAAGUGAAAGCAAAAAGAAAGUCCGAGUACUGGUAAGCAAUCAAAUGAAAAGAAAAUGCUGCACGGUGGCUGUAGGAGCGAUUGGUCUAUCAGUUGGAAAAGGCCCUUGUUGAAGAUGCUGAUCCUGGUGCAGCUUCUCAUGAUGAAUGUUGAAGAAUUAUGGGCCCAUGCUCCUUUUCCUCCAUUAUUACCUGUUGGCCAGGAUGCUUUUGUUUUACCUACCAUUUAUUCUGGAAACCACUCCUUGGGCUUACCAGCCUUACCCCACCUUCUGGUGGAUCAUUCUAUCAAUAUCUCAGGAUGGUGGAAUCUUACCGAGGUCCUUUGUUUUUCUUUUCAUGAAAAUUCCUCUUGCUUAAGACUUAUAUCUUAUGAUAGGUCUGGUGAUUUUGUUCAGGGGUUUGCUCUUCCUCCUCCCUAUUUGCAGGGUACCCAACCAUCUCAGCCAUCCACAGCCUUUGGCACUUGUGGGGGAUUGUUGAAUUUUACCAUACCUAUGAAUGCUUCUAGAGAGGCACCUUCCUCUAUGGCCCACCUGUCCGAAGCUUGCCCAUGGAUGUGGGCUUCUAAGGAAGAAUCUUUGUUCCCAUUACAGUUGCCUCUCCCUUGGAGAUGGUGCCAGUCCCUAGAAGAGGAAACUCCAUUUAGUGUCUCCUCCAGUCUGACCCUCAGGGCCAGAGACUUUAAGAAUUGGGGAUCGACAGGUACCUCCCUGUUUGCUGACUGGUCCCUUUGUAAUAAGCAUACUUGUUUGGAUUUUCGCCCAUUUUUGUUUUUAAGAGAUUCCUUUCUUUUUAAUAGCUCCUGUGAAUGGAUUGGUUUUAAUUAUAAUGGCUUUUCAGAGAAGGUUGUUCCCCUUUCCCCUUCACCUGUUUGUGUUACUUUUCCUUUUGUAUUUUUAGUUACCAAUUCAUCCCUCGCUGCAGAGGAAGUUAAUUGUAGUACUGAACGGUGUUUAUUGUCUUCUUGCUGGCAUGGAAGUUCUUCGUCAGCAGUUUUGCUCCGUGUCCCAUUUCAGUAUAGGUACUUCAAGGACAUUUUUGCCAAAUAAAACUUGUGGUCCGAUCUUAGGAGACUAGGGAUUUUGGUGUUACGGCCGAUAUUGAUUCUGCAGUGCUGCAGGAGCAGCUGCCACCAUUGCCAUUAUGCAGAAGGUUGUAACUGUGAAGGCCUUGAAUGAUGCAGUUCAUGCUUCAUCACAGGUGUUUGCCACCUAGCAGCUGUUAAAUGAUCAGAUACACAGGGAAGUUUUGCCAUUACAGCAACAGAUCGAUCUUUUAGCAGAGGAAGCUAAGACACUUAAUAUGAUGACCAACUUUGAUUGUGACCCUAGGUAUCAAUUUUUCUGUUUGACCCCAUUUUCAGUUAAAAACAGUUCUCUCGAAUGAAAAUGAUUGACUUCCUUUAUCAAAGGAUGGUGGAAUAAUGAGUUUUUUAAUUUAUCCCUAAUUGCUAAUUUGUUUACUGUGUAUAUUAAGGUUUUUAGAUCUGGAUUCCUCCUUUUGGAAAUAAUGUUAAGAAACUCUUUGACAUCAUGGAUUGUUACCUAUACACUCAUGGGAAGUGUAGUUUUGCGUUUCCUUCUCUUGCUCCAAUGCCUAUUCAGUGCAGGUAACAUGUCUUUCAUCAGAAGGACAUCAAUGUCAUAUUGUCCUUCUAGGAUCAACACUUGACUUCCAAGUGUAGGUGAAUAUGUGGCUUGCUCAGUUGAAGCAUGAGACUCAAUAAUGAGUGGAGGGGUUCAGCAACUGAUGGCUGAUUAAUUAAUGAUGGGUAAGAAUCCACAAGGGUAAACCAACCUAAGACAGGCACAGUGGCUUUUGUGCUGCCCUCUCCAUAUAUAGGAUAAGGUGAACAGGUAUAUCCUGUGCCACCUUUCACUUUUUUGUAAAGCCUGCUUUUUAAAACUAAAAAGGGGUAACUGUGGAGCUUUUGCCCUGACCUGCAUUGCAGAAGUUGCCACAUCAGAUGCUCAGGCUUCAAUGCACUUAGUGAAAAUCCUUCAUCAGAGUUGGGAGCUCUGCUUUUACCUGUUUUAUAUUUUAUCUUCUCUAAAAAAGGGGACUAUUUUUGAAAACUGGGAACUUGUGCUAUUGGCUGACAACAUGAGACAGUCCGGUCAAUGGUAUUGACUUGAGGUGGGUUUUGUGGUUUUCUUCCUUUAUAUUUGGUGUGUGCUAUAAUAAAGUUGGGCCUUGAUCAGAA
rnacentral:lncRNA from 1 species